GAGCACAUGGACCCACUGGUCAAGCGGGCUCGGCAAGGCCAGGAUGAAGAGAAGCUACGAACUUAGCAUUCCCAGAGCCCCCCGAGUGGAUAUCCGCGUGGAAAGGAUGUUGGCAGCCCCGGUGACCUCGGAGUCACGGCUGGAUCCACCCUCUUGUCUGAUUUUCUUAACUCUACUACGGUAAGAAGAUGCCCUCCAUCAGCAGGCCGUGUCUGCUGGGACCUCUCUGGAGACUUCCUGAACCCUGUGGAUUUACAGUAAGAUGCAGUUUCCUGGGGAGUAAUUCUGGUGGAUACAAAUUCCGGAGUAUUACACCUGGCUUGCCUGGAGAUGUUACAAGUAGCUGGAUGGAUUCUUCAGCCUGGAUGCCCACUGAAAACAAGGACCGAAACUGAGAGGAUUGUAUCUCUACCCUUGACUCAAUGAGAAUGUUUGUUGUCAUCUCUCGGGCUACCUGGAGCUCCCUCUAAAAUAGAGCCGAGUUCUGUCACCACAGACAUUGGCAGUGGCACUUGCAUGCCCCUGGCAAGCAGUCUAUCCUGAGGUGGAGGAAGUUGCCCUUGAGUUCUGGCUGGUAACCAGCACAGGGGCUGGGACACUGCCUGAUUGAGGUGGCCAUUGAGAAUUCAAGUGUACCUCUUGGUCCCUGAUGCAGAAAUGAAGUCCCCAGCAUGCUCAAGAAGAGCUUCCUUGGAGGAUGAGAGGCAUGGGAAUCUAAGUAUACCCUUUAAGCGUUCCAGAAGGAUUUUGAGAUCCUUUCCUAAAUCAAAGGUGGAAUAUUUGGGGAUUUGGAAAAUUGAGAUGAGAAGCGUUGACUUAAGAGAUGCCAAGUAGCUCAGCAGAUGUCACACAGACGAUAAAUAGCAAAGAUGGAAGUCUUCAUGCCGGAGGCAAUCCUAUAAGACAGUUGAGUUCUGCAGAGCUGGUAGGAGACAGACUUGCUCAGGUGAUAGAUCCAGCCAUGAUACUGACCCUAAGAGAAUGAGACGCUCUGCAGAAGACAGAAGAUUCCUGAAACUGGGAAAGGUGCCUAGAAAUCCUGAGAAGAGUGAAGAAGGAGCUGGCAGAGCAGCCUUCCUCCGCACUAUGAAAGACAUCCAACAGAGAGCAAGUUCCCACCUCACUUCCAGCUUGACUCCUUUUUAUCUCCUAACUGUGGUCUGUGAUGUCUUCAGCAAUGGUAUUAACUAGUUCUGGGUACCUGGAGGCACAGCAGCCAUGUUGAACCUAUGAGGUGAUGAAAAACCAUGCAACUAGAAACCAGAAUGGAAGAAAAGAAGAAGCUGGAUCCUUGACUGAAUUGUCGAUGGGGGAUAGUCCAUCAUCCCAGGGCUAAGACCACCUCCAGAUUUCUUGUUUGGUGAAACAAGUCCUGAUUGUUUACAUUCCCUCGUGUUGAGCUGUCUCUUGCUUGUAGCUGAAAGCAUUUCUAAUAGAUAUUCAGAUUAUCAGCCUUAGCUCCAAGCUAGAAUACUCUAUGGGACCUUAGCUUCUCCAUGAAUUCCUUUGCUCAUCUGUGUAAUGCUCAAUAAAUGUAAAUUGAACCCUGAAUGAGGGACAAUG
ensembl:lincRNA